rnacentral:rRNA from 1 species
CCUACGGGCGGCAGCAGUGGGGAAUAUUGGACAAUGGGGGCAACCCUGAUCCAGCAAUUCUGUGUGCACGAGGAAGGUUUUCGGGUUGUAAAGUGCUUUCAGCAGGGAAGAAGGAAGUGACGGUACCUGCAGAAGAAGCGACGGCUAAAUACGUGCCAGCAGCCGCGGUAAUACGUAUGUCGCAAGCGUUAUCCGGAAUUAUUGGGCAUAAAGGGCAUCUAGGCGGCCAGGCAAGUCUGGUGUGAAAACUUGCGGCUCAACCGCAAGCCUGCCCUGGAAACUGCCUGGCUAGAGUGCUGGAGAGGUGGACGGAACUGCACGAGUAGAGGUGAAAUUCGUAGAUAUGUGCAGGAAUGCCGAUGACGAAGAGAGUUCACUGGACGGCAACUGACGCUGAAGUGCGAAAGCUGGGGGAGCGAACAGGAUUAGAUACCCCUGUAGUC